rnacentral:lncRNA from 1 species
UCAAACUUAACACUUACACUAUAAGAACAACAACAACAACAACAAUAGUUAAACUUAAAGCUCCAUGUGCAACUCCACCACAAAUCAAAGCAGACAAAUAAUCAAUAGCUAAACAAUUUCUUAAGUUCAAGGAAUUUUCUCAACCAUACAGUACACGUCAAUCCUCUAGCAUGUCCUACUAUCGUAUGCCUGUGGAUUUACUACAUACUGAAGUCAGAGAUUGAUCAUGAUUUGAUGACCUUGAUUAAGAAGCAUGCUGCAAUAUGGAAGUACUUGUAUAAAUGGUCCCAGCUUUUCCCUCUCUGCUAGUAGUUCGGCCAAGUAUCUGCAGAGCAAGUGAUAACGAAAUCAACAUAUUGAAAGGCAGAGCAACAUUUAAUAAACAUGUUACAAGUAACAUUCAGAAUUUGACAAUCAUGGUAUCAGUUUUCAAGUAAUGGCAACUGUGCAACUCAAACGAACAAAGGACACACCAAGCUAAGUGCUAUUAGAUAAACGCAAUGGCUUGCUUCUAGGUACACAGUAACAUUAAAAUCACUUAAUAAGCUUACGAUCAAAACCAAAGAAGAAUAUACAAGAUCAUUAACAACUUGAAUAAAACUAGAAAAUCAUGAAAGCUGACUCUAAUCAAUUAACAUGAGGGAAAACGGGUGACAAAAUAUGUACUGCAGGAGACUUGAAGAGAUUAGAGACAAGAUUUAACUGCACUCCAAUGCUCAAGAAGGCAAAGAAGUGAGACCUUUAAAUCAUAACAUAAUAAAUCUUCUAGUGAAGGGAAAGCAACUACAACGAGAAGAAACAAGAAGGACUUCCCAUGCCAUUACCACACAGCUAGUUAGUCAUUUAUCUCCAAUGUCUGGUUUUCUCACUUGUGCAUCCAUACUUGCCAGGCAACACUGCAACAGCUAAAUCUCCUCUUCCCAAAUCCCAAAACCCAAUAACAUAGUAUGCCUCAUUAACCACCCCACAAUGAACAGUAACAUAAAGCCAGCACAAUUGUUGCACCAACUCCACCGACACAGCCGACAGGCCAUACCUAGGGGGUGGUCAUAGUAACAAGUAAAAGCAGUCUAAAUAUCACCUUUUAAAUUUACGAGUCAUCAUCUUCCAUGAUAGCCGUUUCAUCCAAAC